GGAGCUUGCUCUGGUGGCGAGUGGCGAACGGGUGAGUAAUAUAUCGGAACGUACCCUAGAGUGGGGGAUAACGUAGCGAAAGUUACGCUAAUACCGCAUACGAUCUAAGGAUGAAAGUGGGGGAUCGCAAGACCUCAUGCUCGUGGAGCGGCCGAUAUCUGAUUAGCUAGUUGGUAGGGUAAAAGCCUACCAAGGCAUCGAUCAGUAGCUGGUCUGAGAGGACGACCAGCCACACUGGAACUGAGACACGGUCCAGACUCCUACGGGAGGCAGCAGUGGGGAAUUUUGGACAAUGGGCGAAAGCCUGAUCCAGCAAUGCCGCGUGAGUGAAGAAGGCCUUCGGGUUGUAAAGCUCUUUUGUCAGGGAAGAAACGGUGAGAGCUAAUAUCUUUUGCUAAUGACGGUACCUGAAGAAUAAGCACCGGCUAACUACGUGCCAGCAGCCGCGGUAAUACGUAGGGUGCAAGCGUUAAUCGGAAUUACUGGGCGUAAAGCGUGCGCAGGCGGUUUUGUAAGUCUGAUGUGAAAUCCCCGGGCUCAACCUGGGAAUUGCAUUGGAGACUGCAAGGCUAGAAUCUGGCAGAGGGGGGUAGAAUUCCACGUGUAGCAGUGAAAUGCGUAGAUAUGUGGAGGAACACCGAUGGCGAAGGCAGCCCCCUGGGUCAAGAUUGACGCUCAUGCACGAAAGCGUGGGGAGCAAACAGGAUUAGAUACCCUGGUAGUCCACGCCCUAAACGAUGUCUACUAGUUGUCGGGUCUUAAUUGACUUGGUAACGCAGCUAACGCGUGAAGUAGACCGCCUGGGGAGUACGGUCGCAAGAUUAAAACUCAAAGGAAUUGACGGGGACCCGCACAAGCGGUGGAUGAUGUGGAUUAAUUCGAUGCAACGCGAAAAACCUUACCUUCCCUUGACAUGGCUGGAAUCCUUGAGAGAUCAGGGAGUGCUCGAAAGAGAACCAGUACACAGGUGCUGCAUGGCUGUCGUCAGCUCGUGUCGUGAGAUGUUGGGUUAAGUCCCGCAACGAGCGCAACCCUUGUCAUUAGUUGCUACGAAAGGGCACUCUAAUGAGACUGCCGGUGACAAACCGGAGGAAGGUGGGGAUGACGUCAAGUCCUCAUGGCCCUUAUGGGUAGGGCUUCACACGUCAUACAAUGGUACAUACAGAGCGCCGCCAACCCGCGAGGGGGAGCUAAUCGCAGAAAGUGUAUCGUAGUCCGGAUUGUAGUCUGCAACUCGACUGCAUGAAGUUGGAAUCGCUAGUAAUCGCGGAUCAGCAUGUCGCGGUGAAUACGUUCCCGGGUCUUGUACACACCGCCCGUCACACCAUGGGAGCGGGUUUUACCAGAAGUAG
rnacentral:rRNA from 1 species